rnacentral:rRNA from 1 species
GACGAACGCUGGCGGCGUGCCUAAUACAUGCAAGUCGAGCGCAGGAAAUCAUCCGAACCCUUCGGGGGGACGUUGAUGGAAUGAGCGGCGGACGGGUGAGUAACACGUAAAGAACCCGCCCUCAGGUCUGGGAUAACCACGAGAAAUCGGGGCUAAUACCGGAUGGGUCAUCGGACCGCAUGGUCCGAGGAUGAAAGGCGCUUCGGCGUCGCCGGGGGACGGCUUUGCGGUGCAUUAGCUAGUUGGCGGGGGAGUGGCCCACCAAGGCGACGAUGCAUAGCCGACCUGAGAGGGUGAUCGGCCACACUGGGACUGAGACACGGCCCAGACUCCUACGGGAGGCAGCAGUAGGGAAUCUUCCACAAUGGACGAAAGUCUGAUGGAGCAACGCCGCGUGAACGAUGAAGGCCUUCGGGUCGUAAAGUUCUGUUGUAAGGGAAGAACAAGUGCCGCAGGCAAUGGCGGCACCUUGACGGUACCUUGCGAGAAAGCCACGGCUAACUACGUGCCAGCCGCCGCCGUAACAC